rnacentral:rRNA from 1 species
GAUGAACGCUAGCGACAGGCUUAACACAUGCAAGUCGAGGGGCAGCGAGGGAGUGCUUGCACUUCUGUCGGCGACCGGCGCACGGGUGAGUAACACGUAUGCAACCUGCCCUUGUCAGGGGGAUAAGCGAGGGAAACCUCGUCUAAUACCGCAUAUAUGGUUUUGAGGCAUCUCUUAAUCAGGAAAGAAUUAUCGGACAAGGAUGGGCAUGCGGGACAUUAGGUAGUUGGGGGUGUAACGGACCACCAAGCCGACGAUGUCUAGGGGUUCUGAGAGGAAGGUCCCCCACACUGGUACUGAGACACGGACCAGACUCCUACGGGAGGCAGCAGUGAGGAAUAUUGGUCAAUGGUCGAAGGACUGAACCAGCCAUGCCGCGUGAAGGUGACGGCCCUAUGGGUCUUAAACUUCUUUUGUAAGGGAGCAAUAAGGUCUACGUGUAGGCCGAUGAGAGUACCUUACGAAUAAGCAUCGGCUAACUCCGUGCCAGCAGCCGACGG